UCAGUAUGGUAACAAAAUUGAGUUUGAUUCUGAGUCCUGGAGAUCAUUACUAAGAUUAGGCAUAUUUUUUACUACAUUUUUAUGUUGGAACUCCAUAUUAAGACAGCAAAAGGUACCUAUGAUAAGGAUGUGCAAAUAGAUUUAACACGAUUAUGUUUUGAAAUAUCAAAAAAGAUGCGUUCAGAAAUAAAAAGGGAUGUUCUUGUAUAUAAGCAAGCAUUAUUGACUAAGCAACCAUCGUCAUCAAAUAAAAAAUAAUACUAAUAAAUCAACACCUUAAGAUGAGCAAACAACAAGUUGUCGAUGAAAUUCAUAAGGCAGCGCGAAAAAACUUCAUACGGCGAAAGUUCGUUCAAAAACGGAUAAAUGACACAUGGCAAAUUGAUUUAGUUGAAAUGAUACCAUUUUCGAAAGAAAAUAAGGGUUUUAGAUAUUUACUGACCGUUAUUGACACGUUCUCAAAGUAUGCAUACGCCGAGGCAGUUAAGUCAAAGUCUGCCCUGGAUGUAGCAGAGGCAAUGAAAUCUGUUUUUAAAAAGAGUAAAAGUACACCCAAGAAUAUUCAGUCAGAUCAAGGGAAAGAAUUUUUUAAUUCCACUUUUAGGAAAUUAAUGGAUAAAUUUGAUAUAAAUCAUUAUCAUACUUAUACGCAUCUCAAGGCUUCUAUCUGUGAACGCUUUAAUAGAACAUUAAAAAAUCGUAUGUGGAAAAUGUUUAGUAUGCAGGGUAAAUAUAAGUGGAUUCAUAACAUCAAUUAUCUCGUAAAUCAAUACAAUAAUUCAUAUCACCGAACAAUUAAAAUGAAGCCUAUAGAUGUCUGCACGAAAAAUGAAGAGUUUAUUUUAAAAUCGGUAUAUAAUAUACCAAAAAUAUUUCCAAAACAUAAAUUUUUAGUAGGUGAUUUUGUUAGAAUAAGUAAAUACAAGGGAGCAUUUAUGAAGGGAUACGAACCUAAUUGAACCACAGAAGUUUUUAAAGUUUUAAAAGUCAAGUCUACAUACCCCGUAACAUAUGAAAUACAAGAUUAUAUGGGUACGCCUAUUAAUGGGUCAUUUUAUGAAGAGGAACUUCAAAAAGUGAAAGACAAAAAUGCUUUCCUAGUAGAGAAAAUACUAAAAAGGAAAAAUAAUCAAGUGCUUGUAAAAUGGAGCGGUUUCGAUUCCAGCCACAACUCAUGGAUAUCUGUAAAUGACCUGCUAAAGUAAUAAAACGCAACAAUAACAAGUUUAA